rnacentral:rRNA from 1 species
CCCUACGGGGGGCAGCAGUAGGGAAUCUUCCACUAUGGGCGAAAGCCUGACGGAGCAACGCCGCGUGGGUGAAGAAGGUCUUCGGAUCGUAAAACCCUGUUGUUAGAGAAGAAAGUGCGUGAGAGUAACUGUUCACGUUUCGACGGUAUCUAACCAGAAAGCCACGGCUAACUACGUGCCAGCAGCCGCGGUAAUACGUAGGUGGCAAGCGUUAUCCGGAUUUAUUGGGCGUAAAGGGAACGCAGGCGGUCUUUUAAGUCUGAUGUGAAAGCCUUCGGCUUAACCGGAGUAGUGCAUUGGAAACU